GGGGCCGUAGCUCAGUUGGGAGAGCGCCUCGUUCGCAAUGAGGAGGCCGGGGGUUCGAUUCCCCCCGGCUCCACCA
rnacentral:tRNA from 1 species